rnacentral:ncRNA from 1 species
GAAAUAAUUGGUUUUAUUAUUAUUUAAUUAGUUAUUAUGUUAUAUUUAUAUGUAAAUUUUUGUGUGUUAUUAUUUAAUCUUAAAGGUUAAUUUAUUUUAUUUGCAAUUCUUAAUUUUAAUAUUUAAGUUAUCUUAGAUUUAUAUAAUUUAUUUAGAACUAUAAAAAGUUGUGCCAGCAUAUGCGGUUAUACAUCUAGUUCAAAUUAAUUUUUUCGAUUGGGUAUUAUUUAUUAUUACUAUUGGGAACUAAUUUUGAUUUAUUGGGUGAAAUUUCUAUCUCAUUUAUAAUUCUUAGGUUAAUAAAUUAUAUGAAAGCUGGUUUUUAAACUAGGAUUAGAUACCCUAUUAUUCUAGCUGUAUUAUUAUAUCUUAAUACUAAUAGUUAUGUUCUUUAAAUUAAAAAUUCUUGGCGGUAGUCUAAUCUUUUUAGAGGAAUCUGUUCUAUAAUUGAUAAUCCACGUUGGAUUUCACUUUAUUUAUUGUUUAUAUACCUCUGUCGUAAUGAUUAUUUUAUUAGAAUAUUAUCUUAAUCUUAUAUUUAAUAUGAUGUCAAGUCAAGGUGUAGCUAUAUUAAAGGUUGAAAUGGAUUACACUUAAUUUUAUUUAUUGGAUUAAAUUUUGGAUUAAAAUUUAUGAAAUUGGAUUUAAAUGUAAAAUUUAUUAAUUUAUAAGUUUGAUUAUUAGCUCUAGACUAUGUACAUAUCGCCCGUCACUCCCAUUUUAAGGUGGGAUAAGUCGUAACAAAGUAAUUUUACUGGAAGGUGAGGUUGGAAGAU